CAACUUUCAGCAACGGAUCUCUUGGCUCUCGCAUCGAUGAAGAACGCAGCGAAAUGCGAUAAGUAAUGUGAAUUGCAGAAUUCAGCGAAUCAUCGAAUCUUUGAACGCACCUUGCGCCCUUUGGCUAUUCCGAAGGGCAUGCCUGUUUGAGUAUCAUG
rnacentral:rRNA from 1 species